CGGUCUCACAUCGCGCUUAUCCCUAAGCAACGGGCACAAGGGGCGGUUACAUCUUCCUGACUGAUCUCCCGGUACCGCUCGCCGUCUGUCUGCACCGGAUCACCGGCCUGGACUGAAUGUCUGCCUGGGAACCCGGACCGUAUGCCAUCUGUACCCAGCCCGGCACCGGGCACACUGCCAGCUAUACCCAGGUAGGGGCACUGCCAGCUAUACCCAGGUAGGGGCACUGCCAGCUAUACCCAGCCUGGCACCGAGCACACUGCCAACUAUACCCAGCCUGGCACCGGGCACACUGCCAGCUAUACCCAG